rnacentral:rRNA from 1 species
AGUGAACGCUGGCGGUAGGCCUAACACAUGCAAGUCGAACGGCAGCACAGGAGAGCUUGCUCUCUGGGUGGCGAGUGGCGGACGGGUGAGGAAUACAUCGGAAUCUACUCUGUCGUGGGGGAUAACGUAGGGAAACUUACGCUAAUACCGCAUACGACCUACGGGUGAAAGCAGGGGAUCUUCGGACCUUGCGCGAUUGAAUGAGCCGAUGUCGGAUUAGCUAGUUGGCGGGGUAAAGGCCCACCAAGGCGACGAUCCGUAGCUGGUCUGAGAGGAUGACCAGCCACACUGGAACUGGGACACGGUCCAGACUCCUACGGGAGGCAGCAGUGGGGAAUAUUGGACAAUGGGCGCAAGCCUGAUCCAGCCAUACCGCGUGGGUGAAGAAGGCCUUCGGGUUGUAAAGCCCUUUUGUUGGGAAAGAAAUCCAGCUGGCUAAUACCCGGUUGGGAUGACGGUACCCAAAGAAUAAGCACCGGCUAACUUCGUGCCAGCAGCCGCGGUAA